rnacentral:rRNA from 1 species
CUACGGGAGGCAGCAGUAGGGAAUUUUCGGCAAUGGGCGCAAGCCUGACCGAGCAACGCCGCGUGAGGGAUGAAGGUUUUCGGAUCGUAAACCUCUGUCUUCAGGGACGAUAAUGACGGUACCUGAGGAGGAAGCCACGGCUAACUACGUGCCAGCAGCCGCGGUAAUACGUAGGUGGCAAGCGUUGUCCGGAGUUACUGGGCGUAAAGGGCGUGUAGGCGGCCUUUUAAGUCAGACGUGAAAUUUUUGGGCUUAACCCAAAGGCUGCGUUUGAAACUGGAAGGCUUGAGGACCGGAGAGGGUAGUGGAAUUCCCAGUGUAGCGGUGAAAUGCGUAGAUAUUGGGAGGAACACCAGUGGCGAAGGCGACUGCCUGGACGGCACCUGACGCUGAGGCGCGAAAGCCAGGGGAGCAAACGGGAUUAGAUACCCUGGU